rnacentral:lncRNA from 1 species
GUUGUAUUCUGUAUAUUAUAUGAUUUAUAUUGAUUAAUUGAAGCUAUAGUAUACUAACUACAGAUUGUAAUUAGUUGAUUAGUCUAUAUAUAUGCUUUGUUCAUUACAUUUACGUAUUUGACAGUUGGACUUAUUGACAUACGACAUUUGCUACUGGUUUGGGUAACUUUGGUUUGACUGUAGUUUACUUCAAAGGUUUUCUUUUUAUGCUUCAUUGGGCCGCACACUUUCUUUAUUUCUAUUGGUCAUUAUAUUUUGGCGCUAUAUUUCUUUUGUUCUUUUAUGCUGGUCAUCACUUUUCUAUAUACUGGUGGACAUAUUGAUAUGUUCUUGAUGUAAUUUUAAGUAUGAACUUAUAUUCUUUCUUAGUUUUCUUUAUUCUUUAAUCAGGUAUAUUUUAAGUAAUCCUGGGAUGAUGUGAAUUAAUUUCCAUAUAGAUAAAUCAGGAGGCCUUUGCACCUCAUGCGAGGGUAUCUUUUUAUAU